rnacentral:rRNA from 1 species
GACGAACGCUGGCGGCGUGCUUAACACAUGCAAGUCGUACGGUAAGGCCCUUUCGGGGGUCCACGAGUGGCGAACGGGUGAGUAACACGUGAGUAACCUGCCCACAACUUUGGGAUAACGCUAGGAAACUGGUGCUAAUACUGGAUAUGUGCUCCUGCUGCAUGGUGGGGGUUGGAAAGCUCCGGCGGUUGUGGAUGGACUCGCGGCCUAUCAGCUUGUUGGUGGGGUAGUGGCCUACCAAGGCGGCGACGGGUAGCCGGCCUGAGAGGGUGACCGGCCACAUUGGGACUGAGAUACGGCCCAGACUCCUACGGGAGGCAGCAGUGGGGAAUAUUGCACAAUGGGCGCAAGCCUGAUGCAGCAACGCCGCGUGCGGGAUGACGGCCUUCGGGUUGUAAACCGCUUUCAGCAGGGACGAAGCUUUUUGUGACGGUACCUGCAGAAGAAGCACCGGCUAACUACGUG